rnacentral:rRNA from 1 species
UACGUAGGGCGCAAGCGUUUGUCCGGAAUACUGGGCGUAAAGGGCGCGUAGGCGGCCUGCUAAGUCGGACGUGAAAUCCCUCGGCUCAACCGAGGAACUGCGUCCGAUACUGGUGGGCUUGAAUCCGGGGAGAGGGAUGUGGAAUUCCAGGUGUAGCGGUGAAAUGCGUUAGAUAUCUGGAGGAACACCGGUGGCGAAGGCGGCAUCCUGGACCGGUAUUGACGCUGAGGCGCGAAAGCUAGGGGAGCAAACGGG